rnacentral:snRNA from 1 species
GUGCUCACUUCAGCUGCACAUAUGCUAAAAUUGAA